AGUGUCACGUCCCGAAGCUCAACUGGAUAGAUUCUACAAUGGCAUCAGAGGCUCAAACGAAGGAGAAAGAGGGUCCCGUUGACCCUCUGCUCCGCUUCCAAUGGCAUCGGAGGCUCAAAGGAAGGAGAAAGAGGGUCCCGUUGACCCUCUGACAGCACCUUUCCAAUGGGGAACAAUCCUGUCUGCAGUAAAAGAUCAGAUCCCCACAUUGGACUCUGACACAUCCGUGUCUGAUGGUGAUGAAGAGGAGGAGGACGAGCUUUUCAUUUUCCAGCGAGAUGAAUCCAACCUCAUUCCUGACUUGACAGAAGAACUGAAAGACUGUCCUCCAGAAGAAUCAGACUUGCAGGAUAUUGAAAGAUGGGAUUUGGAUAAGGUCCUACAGGAUCUGGAGAAGCAGAGUGGUGAUACGCAUUGGGAUUUAGAAGUGGCUUUUCCUUCAAUCAACCAUGGUAAGAAAAGAAGUCUAAUUUUGAUUUCCUAGAGAUGUAACCACUGUACAGUACAUUGAUUUGCGGGAGAGGACCCAACAUGGAUUUCAGAAAGUAUGCUUGAAAGAAUAGGUUAAACGGGCAUAUAAAUGUCCCAAGUCAACGGGUACUUUCACACUGGACAUUUGAAUGUAUAAACAUCAGAUUCCUUCCAGACGCCUUUCUGAAUCUGCUCCCUUUCACAGGUAUUGGGUGGCAGCUCCCAUCAUCUUUCGUCAAUAUGAGUUUGGCUGGGAGGAUUGAGGUGGUAGCCCCUCUGACCUGGAAGGUGUCCCUUUCAGGAAAGUUACAUGACAGCAAACUCGCUCUGCUCAUCUUUUGGAACUAGACCUCUUUCGUCAGCAAAUGGUUUUCUCCUCUUUUGCACCUUCAGAAACCUGGAGGGCUGUGUCACACGCAAGUCUUAUGAAAAAGCUGGAAGAGUUCUCCCUUCAACAAUCCAGGGCAUUUUUGUCGCAGCAGAAGAGAUGUCUUGCUAAGCUCCCUGAAUUUAGCCAGUGCCAAGGGGACGGGAAGGGUGUUCCCAUCCUGACGCCCCUGGGAAACCACCGAAGCCUGACUCCGAUAGAACUGCAAUGGGCUUCAGAGCCACCCACUGUCUAUAUGGACCUCAGAGAGACAACUUCUCAAAAGCCUGAGUCGGCCUGGAAUGACAAGCAAAGCUCAAGUGACAGCUCCUCGGAUGAUGAGGAAGAUACAGAAGUGAAAGACCCAGAGAAAAUGGAAAGAAAAACGAAGGCAUUAUCCCGGCCCUCACGGGAUUGCACUGGGAAAAGCUUCCUGCUGCAGCAGCUUCGUCACUUCGGCAGAAGAAUGCCCCAGUCUUCAGCUGUUGAAGAAAGGGACGAAAACCUCACAAGUCCAGAAAGACCUGACCUUUCAAGAGACAGAAGCAGCCGCGGCCUAAUACAAAGAGGUCUGGCUUCAGUGGGUCCAACUGACUCAGAAUUAAAUGGAAAGAGCUUCCCGCUGGGGUGUCCUAACGGUGUAGCUAAGCCCCCAAGAGAGGUCAAGAGAGAUGCUGAGGAAGAGCCAUGCCCCAAAUUCCCUCCAGAGACUUCUGCAGACGGAGGAGGAGAAUACCCAAGGGCAGAAGAAAGCCAGAAAGAAAAGCAGGAAGAGGAGAUGCUCAAGAAACAGUAGCUGCAGGAAUGGCUGGAGAAACUAAAGCCUCAGAUACUCCAUUACUGCGAUGCAGCCCAUGGCUGAACAACCCCCCACCACCACAUCUUGUUCCAUGUGGUCCCCAGCACAGGAUAGCAGAACAACAUCUUGUCUUGUUCUUCCAAUUUCUGUCUCAUCUGUUAAAGCAAGAAAGAAAAGCCAACAACAUAUUUCAGGUCUUUCCAACCUGACAAGAGCUACAGUAGGAGUUUCUUCCUCUCCUUUUGCAGCCUUUUAUGAUGCUCAAAAUGUCUAAAAAGUUUUCCAUCCUUUCUGGACUGGGAGAGGGUUGGUUGUUGAUGCACCAGAGGCUCCAGGAGAAAGGUGGAUAUGGGGUUUCACUGACUCUGGCGAAGUAGCAGAUCCCAUAGAAGUAACUAUUCUAUCCUGGCCAAAUAUGCAUUUUGUGCACAUGACUUCUAAUAAAUGCAUUUGAAGAGUUCCCUUAAGAUGAUGC
ensembl:lncRNA chromosome unknown C16orf71 homolog